rnacentral:lncRNA from 1 species
UCAGAGUAAUUAUGCCCCGAAGGGUGUCACACAAUCAUUUCACAACAUUUAUCAAAAUAUCCUGUCAUGCUCAUUUAUUUAAUCAAAAUAAGACUCUUUUGCAUAAUUCGCAGCGGAUACAAAACAUCGACAUUCAAAGCAUGUACUACAUUACAUGUAAAGUUGAUCAACAACUGAAUUAAAACAUAUUCAAACAUCCCCUCCCGAUGUUACAUCUACCAGAGCAUGACCCACUAAGGACGACACUAGACUCCAUAGCACUAGCUUCUACUCAACUCACUGCUCGUUACCUGAAAAAUAGUUGUAAGGG